rnacentral:rRNA from 1 species
GAUGAACGCUGGCGGCGUGCCUAAGACGUGCAAGUCGAGCGGAGUUAUACGCUGGAGAGGCCUUCGGGCUAAUCCUUGUAUAACUUAGCGGCGGACGGGUGAGUAACACGUGGGUAAUCUGCCCUUCACUGCGGGAUAACAGUUGGAAACAGCUGCUAAUACCGCAUAAGCCCCCGGCAUCACAUGGUGCAGAGGGAAAAGAUUUAUCGGUGAAGGAUGAGCCCGCGUUAGAUUAGCUAGUUGGUGGGGUAACGGCCUACCAAGGCGACGAUCUAUAGCCGACCUGAGAGGGUGAUCGGCCACACUGGGACUGAGACACGGCCCAGACUCCUACGGGAGGCAGCAGUCAGGGAUAUUGCACAAUGGACGAAAGUCUGAUGCAGCAACGCCGCGUGAAGGAUGAAGGUUUUCGGAUCGUAAACUUCUAUCGAUGGGGACGAAUAAUGACGGUACCCAAGUAAGAAGCCCCGGCUAACUACGUGCCAGCAGCCGCGGUAAUACGUAGGGGGCAAGCGUUAUCCGGAAUUACUGGGUGUAAAGGGUGAGUAGCCGGUAGGCUAAGUCACAUGUGAAAGCCCGAGGCUCAACCUCGGGACUGCAUGAGAAACUGGUUUACUAGAGUACAGGAGAGGUUAGCGGAAUUCCUUGUGUAGCGGUGAAAUGCGUAGAUAUAAGGAAGAACACCAGUGGCGAAGGCGGCUAACUGGACUGAAACUGACGGUGAGUCACGAAAGCGUGG